GAUGAAGAACGUAGCGAAAUGCGAUACGUAAUGUGAAUUGCAGAAUUCAGUGAAUCAUCGAAUCUUUGAACGCAUAUUGCGCUCUUUGGUAUUCCGAAGAGCAUGCUUGUUUGAGUAUCAGUAAACACCUCAAAGUCUUUUUUUCUUGAAGAAAACGACCUUGGACUUGAGCAUUCCCAACUCUUCUUUCAGAAGAGGCGGGUUGCUUGAAAUGCAGGUGCAGCUGGACAUUCUCCUGAGCUAAAAGCAUAUUCAUUUAGUCCCGUCACACGGAUUAUUACUUUUGCUGCAGCUAACAUAAAGGGAGUUUGACCAUUUUGGCUGACUGAUGCAGGAAUUUCACAAGAGUCUUCAAAACGCUCUUGUUAAACUCGAUCUCACAUCAAGUAAGACUACCCGCUGAACUUAAGCAUAUCAAUAAGCGGAGGA
rnacentral:misc_RNA from 1 species